UUGGUGUGGUUGUUGCUGGCCCUCUCGGGGGCAUGUGCACACCCACCAUCCUCAUCUCUCCACCUGUGCACCUCUUGUAKACCUGGAUUGACUUUCCGAGGCAACUCGGUCGGGAAGAUUGCUGCGCUCUGUGAGCCAGCUUUCUUUGCAUGUCCAGGCCUAUGUUUUUCAUAUACCCCUAUAGAAUGUAACAGAAUGUAUCAUUGGGCCUUGUGCCUAUAAACCUUAUACAACUUUCAGCAACGGAUCUCUUGGCUCUCGCAUCGAUGAAGAACGCAGCGAAAUGCGAUAAGUAAUGUGAAUUGCAGAAUUCAGUGAAUCAUCGAAUCUUUGAACGCACCUUGCGCUCCUUGGUAUUCCGAGGAGCAUGCCUGUUUGAGUGUCAUUAAAUUCUCAACCUUAUUAACUUUUGUUGAUAAUGGAUUGGAUUGUGGGGGUUUCUUUUGCUGGCUUCUUCACAGAGAUCAGCUCCCCUUAAAUGCAUUAGCUGGUGCCCCGCGUGGACCAUCUAUUGGUGUGAUAAUUAUCUACGCCGUGGAUGUCUGCAAUCAUAUGGGUUUCGCACUGCUUCUAACCGUCUGUUCAUUCGGACAAUACAUGACAAUUUGACCUCAAAUCAGGUAGGACUACCCGCUGAACUUAAGCAUAUCAAUAAGCGGAGGAAAAGAAACUAACAAGGAUUCCCCUAGUAACUGCGAGUGAAGCGGGAAAAGCUCAAAUUUAAAAUCUGGCGGUCUCCGGCCGUCCGAG
rnacentral:rRNA from 1 species